GGAUUCUAAGUGUAUCGAUGCUCCUUUUAGUGUUGUCCUUGGCUAUUAUACCUGUUGUAUCAGUUGCUGUGUGCAAAUUUGGGCAUUAUCUUCGUGAACUUUUACAUAAAACUCAAGCUGCUGCUGCAGUAGCUUCCUCAAUAGCAGAGGGGCUGGAAUAUUUACUGGGGUUACAGUAGCACUAUAUCCUGUGUCUCAUGUAAAGGCCAGGCUGCAAGUUGCUUCAUAAGAUGCUGUUGACAGGAAUGCAUUUGCUGUUAUAAAAGGCAUAUUAAGAACAGACGGAAUUCCUGGGUUAUACAGAGGUAUUGGUACAGUUAUCACUGGUGCAAUUCCUGCCAGGAUUAUGUUUCUUACUGCUUUGGAGACCACAAAAGUGGCUGCUCUAAAGUUCGUUGAACCACUCAAGUUAUCAGAACCUACAGAGGCAGCAAUAGCAAAUGGCAUUGCUGGCAUGGCGGCAUCUCUUUGUUCUCAGGCUGUGUUUGUUCCAAUUGACGUGUUAUGUUAACAAUGUUAAUCUUUUCCUUGAAAUGGUUAUUCUUUUUCUGGAUUUUGAGUCAUUGGGCGCUUUUUAUUUAGGUUUUGGUGUAUUAUUCUUUGUGAUUGAGAACACAUGCAGAGAUCUAUUUUAAUGUUCCAUAACCUCCGUGGCAAUCAGGUUAGCCAAAGAUUGAUGGUGCAAGGAUACUCUUGUCAUGCGACCUACAAUGGUGGACUGGAUGUUGUUCAAAAGGUCUUGAAGUUGGAUGGCGUUCAAGGACUCUAUAGGGGAUUUGGUUUGUCAGUCAUGACUUAUUCCCCAUCUAGUGCUGUAUGGUGGACAAGUUAUGGUUCAAGCCAACGCCUAAUCUGGAGAUGAUGCAUGGUUUUCUAAUUCCAAUCCUCUCUGUUAUAGGUGCUUGUUUAUGAUAGAACUCUGGUAAAAAAAGUGAUCGCUCCUUAUCUAGUUCACCAACCCUAUGGUUUUGUUGUUCUUGAGAUACCUUUAAUAUGGUGGCUAUAAUUUAAGACUUCUAUUUGUUUUUUUCUA